rnacentral:tRNA from 1 species
AGUCCCGUUCAACGAACUGCAAAUUCUAAAUAAGCACCAUAAAGGUGCCGGGGCU